CUACACAUGCAGUCGACGAUGAUCUCCAGCUUGCUGGGGGGAUUAGUGGCGAACGGGUGAGUAACACGUGAGUAACCUGCCCUUGACUCUGGGAUAAGCCUGGGAAACUGGGUCUAAUACCGGAUAUGACCAUUCCGCGCAUGCGGUGGUGGUGGAAAGCUUUUGCGGUUUUGGAUGGACUCGCGGCCUAUCAGCUUGUUGGUGGGGUAAUGGCCUACCAAGGCGACGACGGGUAGCCGGCCUGAGAGGGUGACCGGCCACACUGGGACUGAGACACGGCCCAGACUCCUACGGGAGGCAGCAGUGGGGAAUAUUGCACAAUGGGCGCAAGCCUGAUGCAGCGACGCCGCGUGAGGGAUGACGGCCUUCGGGUUGUAAACCUCUUUCAGUAGGGAAGAAGCCGCAAGGUGACGGUACCUGCAGAAGAAGCGCCGGCUAACUACGUGCCAGCAGCCGCGGUAAUACGUAGGGCGCAAGCGUUAUCCGGAAUUAUUGGGCGUAAAGAGCUCGUAGGCGGUUUGUCGCGUCUGCUGUGAAAGACCGGGGCUCAACUCCGGUUCUGCAGUGGGUAACGGGCCAGAACUAGACGUGGAUGUUAGGGGGAAGACUUGGAAUUUCCCUGGGUGUAGCCGGUUGAAAAUGCCGCAGGAUAUCCAGGAGGGAACACUCGAUGGCGAAUGGCAGGUUUCUUGGGCAUUAAUUGACGCUGAGGAGCGAAAAGCAUGGGA
rnacentral:rRNA from 1 species